UACGGAGGGUGCAAACGUUAUCCGGAAUCACUGGGCGUAAAGAGCGCGCAGGCGGAUCGGCAAGUCCGGAGUGAAAUCCCGCCGCUCAACGGCGGGGCUGCUUUGGAAACUGCAGGUCUAGGGAGCGGUAGAGGUCGGUAGAAUUCCCGGUGUAGCGGUGGAAUGCGUAGAGAUCGGGAAGAAUACCCGUGGCGAAGGCGGCCGACUGGGCCGUCUCCGACGCUGAUGCGCGAAAGCGUGGGGAGCAAACAGG
rnacentral:rRNA from 1 species